rnacentral:rRNA from 1 species
UACAGAGGUGGCAAGCGUUGUUCGGAAUUACUGGGCGUAAAGGGCGCGUAGGCGGCCUUCUAAGUCGGACGUGAAAGCCCCAGGCUUAACCUGGGAACUGCGUCCGAUACUGGGAGGCUUGGAUUCGGGAGAGGGAUGUGGAAUUCCAGGUGUAGCGGUAAAAUGCGUAGAUAUCUGGAGGAACACCGGUGGCGAAGGCGGCGUUCUGGACUGUAUCUGACACUGAGGAACGAAAGCCAGGGGAGCAAACGGG